AACCAGGACUUCCUUAAGUCCAUACAAACAAUAAAUAAAUGAAUG
rfam:Loxodonta africana unplaced genomic scaffold scaffold_16, whole genome shotgun sequence.